GUAAGAAGCAGGGGAGUGAGAGAGGGGAAGAGUGCAAAAGGAGAAGUAGGAGGAGAUACGAAACACUCACAGUACACAAAAGCCCUGGGAGUCUGCAGAUCGGCCCCGAGAGUCAAGUUACCCCUAAAGCUUCAAGCUUCGCAUCUGUAAAAGUGGAUAAGAAAGAAGAACAGUGCUGAGUGGAUUGUAUAUACCAACUUGAGUUCCACAUGAGAGAAAGAGAGAAAGGGGGAGGGUGAAGACUGUGGAAGGAGCAGAGGUCUGGAGAACAUCAGCUUUGGGUCAGCUUUUGAAGAGCUUCUGCAGCACUCAAAGAGGUCUUUUCUUCACCUACAAACUCCAUCUUGUUCCUAAACACCAGCAUGGACGUCCAGCAGGAGAUGCUUGACAUCUUCCAGAGAAUCUGGGCCAAACUGCAAGGGCUUCCACGGGCUGGGGCUCUGGAGAUCGGGGCUUUCACUGUGCUUUUGCUGUUCUUGGCUACGUUUAUCCUGAUGGUGGUGAUCUCCUGCACCAGCUGCUGCAGCGCCAAAGCAAAGAGGCCAUCCACCAGAGUGCACCCUGUCUGACCCCAACUCCACAGAAUGGUUCACGUGUAAAUACAAUAUUCAGAUGUCCAAGCGUCCAAGCUUUAUUUCAAACAACAUAGCACAUCACAAUUUUAUACAAUUUUCAACUUUUAUAUCGUUUCACAAGAGUUCUUAAACCAAAUUGUGAUAGCUAUAGUAGGAAUAUGAACGUUUUUAUUUCUACUCUGAGCCAUAGCAGUGGCAUCUGUAGUGUUUGACCCCUGGAGACAAAGAGCCAGUGUGGUUAUCUAACAAAAGAACACAGACGACAUCAGACCAGUUUUUCAUUCACCAGCACAAAUGCACAACGCAUUUAGGGGUGGAAGAUAUAUUGGAAAAGUGAUAGUAUCGAAGUUGUUGUUCUGGAGAUAUGCUAAAUAAGAAUGUUUAGUAUAUAUUGAAAUGUCUACAGUGUGAUCUCCCAAACAAGGGUAUAAAGUGUUAUUUCUGUACUUUUGUGGUUACUUUACUGGUCCACUUUAGAGAUUGACCGAUAUGGGUGUUUUCAUGGCCAAAACUGAUACGGAUCGUUUGGAAUCCAGAGAAAUGGCCAAUAGAUUCACUCUGAUUUUUAUUAUUUUCCUCACAAACCUUUAAGAGAGCUGUGCAGUCUCGUGUUGUGCUGUUAUCUCUCUCAUUAAAGUGUGUGUACUCUUUAGCCAGCAGGUCGACCAGAACAAAAUAUUGGUCUGAUAUUGGUCUAUCUCUAGUUCACUUCAUUCAUGUUUUGUGCGUGCGAGAUUUGAACCUCAGUUUGAACAUUGAAACAGUCGUGGUUUAACAUUCCUUUUUUAAAUAUUGUCUAAAUACUGAUAUAUCGCCCAGCCCUAAAUACAUUCCAUCUUCUACUUACAAUGGUACUGUUUUCUGUUUACUCAACUCAUAUUGUAGUUGCUUUGCUUGUGUAAAGAGCAACAGCGCCUCCUGUUGUCCUGAUUUGGACAUUGUCUUGCCAAAAGUGCCAAUGUUUGGUUCAAAUUGUUUCUGUUUUAUAUGAAUUAGUUUAAACUAGUUUUUUAUGAUGGUUGAUAUUUUCUGUAGCAGAAAACAUUUUGAUACUGGUACAACAUGUGAUUGUUGGAUUUAAGUUUGUAAUUAAACUGAAUGAAAUG